UUAGUUCUCCUAACAUGCUUUGUUAAUUCUCCUAACCUGGUAUGUUAGUUCUCCUAACCUGCUUCGUUAGUUUCCUAACCUGCUUCGUUAGUUAUCCUAACCUGGUACGUUAGUUCUCCUAACCUGGUACAUUAGUUAUCCUAACCUGUUACGUUAGUUCGCCUAACCUGCUUCGUUAGUUCUCCUAACCUGCAACAAAAAAGUCCCUUCCGGUCGUAGCUGUAUACCACCUAGUCAGAACCGAGGCCCAAGGACUCCUAAACACCAGGAUGAAAAGGAAGACCUGGCAGAGUCCCAACCACUCAUGACGCACUUCUCCUCCUGGGCAAUCUGGAGGAUCCAUCAUUAAGCCUGCUAAAGAUCAAGCCAGGCUGUUGGUCAGUCAGGGUUAAGGCAUGGCCACUGGCCAGCCCUGCUUCCUGCCUCCUACAGUAGCCAUGUUUAUGUUCCUCCCAUUGAGCAUGAUUAUUAGAGAACAAUGUCAUAAUGAAUGGCACAGGAGAACACACCCUUGUUGAGCUUUACAUUGGCAUUUCUCGCAUUGCAGACUAUCCUUUUCAGCAUGAUGUCCUGAAAAUAAGGAUAAAACUUCAUAUACUUGAAAAUGAUUUCCCCCCAGCCUGUUCUCUUUAACAAAACCUGCCCAGAUGCCGGUUUCUGCAGGUAGAGUCAUGUGAGUACAGUACGUACCUUAAUCUGUCGCUCUAAAUGGCUCUACUCUGUAUUGUAUGGCAAUGCAGUUGAAUCAUGUCUCUAUUGUAUUGACACUGUGUUUUGCAGGCCAGUUUCUGUGUGGGAACAAGCGCUGUGAGAAGGAGGGCCUGAAGAGCUGGGAGGUGAACUUUGCCUAUGCGGAGCAGAGAAAUGCGCUGGUCAAACUCAGACUCUGCCCGAGUGCUCCUUUAAACUCAACUAUCAUCACAAGAGAACGGAGGUGAUCGCCAAGAGAAAAAUACAGAAGUCAUCUAAGGAAAAUCAAGUUGAGCCACAGGCAAAAAGAUCCAAGAAAAGGCGCCAAGAAACACAAAUGCAGAGACAAACAUCAGAGGAGGCGCAAAAGCAAGACUCCACCGUUUCAUAUCUUCGCACAACUAUGGCUAUAGCAGACCCCUCCUCUCGCUCCUCCCCCAGUAACUCCGAGGACGACUCCCAGCAGUCAGACAAAGGAGAGGGAGAACACAGUGAGGAACCAAAGGGCCUGUCGGCCCAGCCCUCACCGUGGAGGAGAAGUCCAGGGAGGAAGAGUUUGACGAGUACUUUGAGGACAUGUUUCUUUGACUGCCCUGCCCUUGGAUUUCUGCCAGCAAGAGUCAACAGCAAGAGUCAACAUUGAUUUGAUUGAUUUUGUAUUGGACGUUGUCUUCGUUUAAUAUCUGAGUUUGUCUGAAGCUAAAUAAAA